rnacentral:lncRNA from 1 species
GUAUCUGAGGUUUUUCUCACUUCUCCCCCUUAUAUUCUUCUUCUUCUUCUUCUUCUUUUCUUGAGUAGCCUCCGUGCUAUAUUUGAGUGUCAGUCAAUCGACUGGCAUACUGAGGGUGUAAUUCUAGAAUGGUUUUCUACAGUGCAGUAAAACUCCGAUACAGUGAAAGAAGUUGCUCAUGUUCUUGCAAAUGAAGACACAUCUUAUCUUUGUUUCUAUAUCUUAAUAGAAAUACCACAUUGUAUUGAACACAUUAUUAUUAAUGACAUGUGAUAAGCGCC